rnacentral:rRNA from 1 species
UACAGAGGUCCCGAGCGUUGUUCGGAUUCACUGGGCGUAAAGGGCGCGUAGGUGGCGGGACAAGCGUGCGGUGAAAGCCUGGGGCUCAACCCCGGGUCGGCCGUGCGAACUGUUUUGCUUGAGCACUGUAGAGGCAGGCGGAAUUCCGGGUGUAGCGGUGGAAUGCGUAGAGAUCCGGAAGAACACCGGUGGCGAAGGCGGCCUGCUGGGCAGUAGCUGACACUGAGGCGCGACAGCGUGGGGAGCAAACAGG